UUGACAUCCAGAGAACUUAGCAGAGAUGCUUUGGUGCCUUCGGGAACUCUGAGACAGGUGCUGCAUGGCUGUCGUCAGCUCGUGUUGUGAAAUGUUGGGUUAAGUCCGCAACGAGCGCAACCCUUAUCCUUUGUUACCAGCGGUUCGGCCGGGAACUCAAAGGAGACUGCCGGUGAUAAACCGGAGGAAGGUGGGGAUGACGUCAAGUCAUCAUGGCCCUUACGGCCAGGGCUACACACGUGCUACAAUGGCGCAUACAAAGAGAAGCGACCUCGCGAGAGCAAGCGGACCUCAUAAAGUGCGUCGUAGUCCGGAUUGGAGUCUGCAACUCGACUCCAUGAAGUCGGAAUCGCCAGUAAUCGUAGAUCAGAAUGCUACGGUGAAUACGUUCCCGGGCCUUGUACACACCGCCCGUCACACCAUGGGAGUGGGUUGCAAAAGAAGUAGGUAGCUUAACCUUCGGGAGGGCGCUUACCACUUUGUGAUUCAUGACUGGGGUGAAGUCGUAACAAGGUAGGCGUAGCGAG
rnacentral:rRNA from 1 species